UGAGUAACGCGUGGGUAACCUGCCUUAUACAGGGGGAUAACAGUUAGAAAUGACUGCUAAUACCGCAUAAGCGCACAGGAUUGCAUGAUCUGGUGUGAAAAACUCCGGUGGUAUAAGAUGGACCCGCGUCUGAUUAGCUGGUUGGUGAGGCAACGGCCCACCAAGGCGACGAUCAGUAGCCGGACUGAGAGGUUGACCGGCCACCAUUGGGACUGAGACACGGCCCAGACUCCUACGGGAGGCAGCAUG
rnacentral:rRNA from 1 species